UUGCUUAUCCUGUCAGUAGGAUUACACAAUUAAUAAUAACUUCACUUGUAUUUUUGUUUAGUUUUGCACACCUAACCCCUAAGUUAGUAGGGUUGUUAACUUAUUAUAUAUUUAUAUAGUUGGAUAGGAAAGUUCAUACAAGUACUCUUGUUUAAUAGGGAUAUUAUGAUGGAACUAUGUUACACUACCAUAUCUCAGGUUAUGCCUUAUAUUAUUUUGAAUAUUUGAUUAUUUACUAAUUUUUUUAUUAUUUUUUAUAUCUUGUUAUUGAAUUUGCCAUAUUGGAAAGAUGUGGUUUUUAAUUUGUUAUUAGGUUACUCUAGUAAAAUUUGUCUCCAAUAUCUUAAACACUUUAUAAUAAUUUAUAUCCUUCUAUCCUACACACUAUGAUUCUGGAAUUAGGUUGGCAUUUUGACAUAUGUAUGGUUUCUUAAGUCUUUUAUUGAUUUCUUCUUGUGGACUAGUCUGUCGUUACUCUGUUAAUGGUAGUGAGUGAGUACGUGGGUUCGAAAUUCAGCAACUGAUCACUGCUAUCCGGUUUCGUAAUAUAUGUCCUCAUGGCAGAGUAGGCAGAUGUCUAUUCAUCAUCAGUUCCUAACCAUUCUUCUGUAAUUAGUCCAAGUAUUCCAGUUUUUUUUUACAAUUUAAUAGGGAAGUAUUUAGUUCAUAUUAGGUCUUUUACUUCAUAGUAUGUUUGUACUUUGAUAGUUGAUGGAUAAACAUGGAUAAAUAUCUUGCGCACUUGUUUAUAAAUCAAUGCUUAGGCCAUCCCUAUACAUAGUAGGUUUGUUAAGUCAGUAUUUGGAGUGUUUAGACAAAUGGGUUGUUCUUCAGAGUAUAUUCCCACUUUUCUUUCCUUAGGCAUUAGUCUUGCUAUUCAGAUUCUAGAAUAUUUCCUGAAUAAUUCCACGUAUGUGCAUUAAUCUGCAGUUUUAAUUAAAAUUGGUUGCCUGUUCUCGUCAAUUUUUUUUCUAAGUAUCACUUAUCAUAUUUUUUUUUCCUAUCACUUAUCAUAGUGUCAUAGAACUUCUAAGUUCACCAUUCAUUCUGUUUUCUUACUUAUUCUUACGUUAUUGGUACUUUAUCUGAGUCUGGUUAUUCUCAUACAUCUGUUAUAGCAACAUGCUAUAGUUAGCGAAUACCAGCACAAAAUAAGUUUAUGUAGUUUCUAUAAUAUUUUAGUCAAUACACUUUAGGUAUUUAUCUUACCUUUGAUUUAGUUAGGUUACAUCUCUGUUACUUAGUCUGUUAAGUAGUAAUUUAUUAUUCUGACUUAUUUUGAUUACUUAGUUUGGAUAGGAUCAUAUUACCGGAUGAGGGUGUAUGUAGACCUAAUUUAUUUAUUUUGUUCAGUAUUAGUUACCAUUGGAUCCAAUAAUUUAGUUUAUUUAGUAUUAGUAAGAAUUGGUCCAUAAAUUUUCCUGAUCGUUCUUCUUUGGAUAUACUCCUAUAUAAAUCUGGUGUCCAUUGAUAGUCCGAUUCUGGAUAAGUGUCCGAUUUUUCAUUUAUUUUGUAUAUUUGGUUGGAUAGGUUCGUAUCACCGGAUGUGGGUGUACGUAGACCUGAUCUGUUUAUGUGGUUUAGUAUUGGUGUGAAUUGGUCCAUAAAUUUGCCUGGUCGUCCUUCUUUGGAUAUGCCUUUUAUGAAUCUGGUGUCCACUGAUAGUUCGACUUUGGAUUACGUGUCCGAUUCCAUAUUUAUUUUGGUUAUUGAGUUUUGGAUUCCUUUGGUAUGUUUAUUAUUGGUAUUAUUUGGCAUUAGUGAGAGUUGUUCCCUAAAUCUUCCUGAUUGUUCUUCUCUGGAUAUACUAUUAUGAAUCUGGUGUCCAUUGUUAGUUCAAUUUUGGAUUAAGUGUUCAAUUCUUUACUUAUUUUAGUUACUGAUUUUUUUUAUUCACUUUGAUACAUUUACUUGUGAUAUGGUUCGAAUUGGCUCACACCUUUUCCUGGUUGUUCCGUCCUUGGAUAUACCCUUUAUAAAUCUGAUGUCCAUGGAUAGUUCAAUUUUGGUUUUAGUGCUCAAUUCGACACAUAGUUAUUAUUAUGAACUUUAGUAAAUAUUUAGUUUUGUUUUGACUUUUAAGCCAUAUUAUGUCAAUAUUUGGUAGCAGAGAGUAACAUAGUAACAUUUUAGUAUAAAUUUGAGUCAUAUAUUUAUUUAUUUUUCCUUGAUCAUUAGUUUAUGCUUAUUGGUAGUCUUGCGAAUCAACGUGGAUUGUUAGACUAUUGUAAAUUUAGUUGUUAAUAUUUUGAAGUUUAGGAAAACAAAAAUUUUUGACAAAAAAUUUUUUUUUCCGAGUAGAAGGGGAUUGUAACGGUUCACGUUACGAGAUUAGAUCUUUAAUUAUUUUUAUAAUUAUUUCCCCUCGGUCUCUCAUUUGAUUUCUUUCAACUUCUCUAAUUUUCUCGUAAAUAAAUAUUUAAGUGACGUCACACUUCAGAGUAUGGAACAUACUCUACACCUCGGGUAAUAAUUUGAUUCGUGUGCUGAGAAUUUGACGUUUUGCUCUGUGAAGUGGCGAGACGAGAGACUUCACUUGUGGCUGGGGAUUUGGUUAGUAUGGAUGGCGUGUGAGGAUCAAAUUUGGAGGUUAGACCUCGUGUUAGUAAAAAUGUGUGACUUUUGAAUUAUGGAUCACCAAACCUAUCUAGGAGUGUUUGGGAAUAAAGAAGGUAUUAAUCCAAUGGGGUUUACAGCAUAACAUCAUCGUAUCACACGCCAUCCAUGUGAAAUCUUAAAUAACACCUUGAAACACCAAGAGGCCAAUCUCCAUCCAUAAGUCAUCAUGGGAGUAUGUCUAACUGGGAGCAAGCUAUGGGAGCGUUCCAGCUCAGUUUUCGUCUUGGCACCUGGGCCUACAGGAGUCAUGGGGUCGCACCAUCCUGGUGCAUCAUUUUCUAGGAUGCAACCGCAACCUUUUUAGGAAUCAUUGGGAUUCGUUUGGGAACAAUUAGUGUGUUUUAGUAACUAUUGGUUUUUUUUACAUUUCAUACUCUCGGUUUAAUGCACUAUGUUAAUUAAUUUUUUUUUCCAGAUUUAGUUUACUUCUGGUUUUUUUUUAAUAUAACAUAUUUGUAUAUUAUUGUAUUUGGUUCCCAAACUUUGUAUCUACGGUAACUUCUUGUGCACAGGAAUAAGCCUAGAGAAAAUUAGGAUUUAAUACUUUAUUAUUGCUUUGAUAUUGGUUUAUGUAAUUCGGGUAAAUUUAUUUUGUAAUAUUACUUGCUUGUUUCCCAAAUAUUUUAUUGUUAUUCGCUUUAUUCCAUUUGUUCGGAUAAUUUAGGUCAUCGUCGGUAUUUAUCUCAACUUCAUUUUUAUUUAUAUUUAACUUACUUACUUCAUUAUUGUAUUUUCCCUUAGUGAGGCUUGGGCCUAUUUAUUUGUAUUAUUUUCAUCUUUGUCGGUUUCAUUUAGUUGUACGUAGCAAUCGUAUUAUAACCAUUGGGGUAGAAAUCUCAUGUGAGUUGUACGCUAUAUGUUAGCAAAAGGUACUUAUACCUUUAAGUUUUGUAACAGGUAACAUUAUUAUUAUUUUAGGCAAAUAUAGCUUUUAUAUAACAUAUGUCAUUUUAGAGUCACAUUAUAUUUAAUUUGUCUAACUCAGAGAUUGUUAAAAAUCUGGUAGUUAAUUUGAAUAAAUAUUUACUUAUUUUGUA
rnacentral:lncRNA from 1 species